rnacentral:lncRNA from 1 species
CAUAACUUAACCUGAGUUUGGUUAUUUUACAAUAUAUUUAUGCAUUGAGACCUUGAAUUGAUGCAUCUGUAUAUGUGGUAUUUGGUAGAAAGAGCGAUUGUUUUUAACUUUUUAAAAAGGUAUUACAUAGAUUGCAUCAACUAUUAAUUGUGAGUCAAUAUAUUCUAACUUCACAAGAAGUGAAAGUCUAAAUUCUUUUAUUCUCCAAUCAUUUUCACAAACUAAGUAGGAAUAAUUCAAAGGGAAAGGGGAAGGAGUAGUUACUGUACAUCUUGUCCAUCAUCAUAAGAGGAGAAUGAUUUAGAUGAGGAAGAAAUGGAGAUCAUGAGAAAACUUUGUUCUAUAUAAUGCGAGUAUAGACUGUGUAUGAGGAGGCUAUUGUUGGGUUGACGUGAAAUAUUGGUCUACAGAACAAUACGUAGAGUGACCUGUAUCAUAGUGAACUUUUACCUAUGUCAAUACAGUUGAUCAAUAAGACAUGGACUUUGCCCAAAUUCAUUCCUUUUGAUAAUUCUCCCAAAUGUUGAGUUUGCACACUGACACUUGGACAAUAUAAAACACACCAAGCGAAUAUGCAUGUCAAUCCUCUCUUUAACUUAUUACCAACUGCUCAACAUGCUUAGCUUUGUAAGUUUUCUCAAAGCACCAUUGCAGAAACUUGAUUUUGCAACAGGGAUUAAAAACAAUGCAACUAACAAUUACAAAUUGACUAAUCAGACUUCCCUCACUACUUAUCAAACUUAGUACCAUUGCCACUUGCCAAUGACUUCAAAAUAGGAUCACUAUUUGCACACAACUUUGUCAUUGUGCUUUGAAUCAACACCAUCUACAUAAAAAUAAAUAUUGCAAGUGACGUACAAAGAACCCCAAAAGUACAAGGUUGCAUUCUAAAAUUGAAAAAAUUGAUGUACAUUCUGGUCUUCUUCUAAUCAUCACUAGUAGAAGACCCGAAUAACUUCUUUCUCUAUUGACUUCCCAUUGUAACUAUGGUCACUUGGCCCAAUAUCAUCAACAUCACCAACCUCAUCCUCUCUAAUAUUUAUGUGGAAAUGUGUCAUCAUACUCCAACCGCUCAAAAGUGAAAAGCCUUCUGAAAUUGUAAAGCUCUUUCAAACAUGAAUCCGGAGUUCCAUCGAAUGGCCACAUCUAAACAAAGUUGACUGUUACACUCAAUGCCUCGCGUGUAAAAA